UACGAAGGGGGCUAGCGUUGUUCGGAAUCACUGGGCGUAAAGCGCACGUAGGCGGAUCGAUAAGUCAGGGGUGAAAUCCCGAGGCUCAACCUCGGAACUGCCUUUGAUACUGUCGACCUUGAGUCCGGGAGAGGUGAGUGGAACUCCGAGUGUAGAGGUGAAAUUCGUAGAUAUUCGGAAGAACACCAGUGGCGAAGGCGGCUCACUGGCCCGGUACUGACGCUGAGGUGCGAAAGCGUGGGGAGCAAACAGG
rnacentral:rRNA from 2 species